rnacentral:tRNA from 1 species
GGGCCCGUGGGGUAACUAGGAUCAUCCUUUCGGCCUUCGGAGCCGAUUAUCCGGGUUCGAAUCCCGGCGGGCCCA